rnacentral:lncRNA from 10 species
UUUUAAUGGAAACCUUCCCUGCAGUCUCUCAUUUGAGCUUUAAGUUUCACCAUCCAACUUUUUACCAGAUUGGCAAAAAAAAAAAAGAAGAAAAAAAAAAGGAAGAACCUAAAUAGACUUCACUGUUUCCCUAAGUUCCUUACAGCUGUGCCCUUCCUCUGGUCACUGAACCUGUCAACCUAAGUUCCCUCAACCGUAAAGUGAGGACAUUAAUAUUGGCCCUGCCUGUUCUGUGCAUCAAAAUAAAUGAGAUGCUGUGUGGGAAGACCUUUUGCAAACUUUAACGCAGUUUUCCUCCUCUCUGACUCUCUCUCCUAUGAUCCAGCCUGAAUCUAUUCCUUCCUCAAAUGAGAAGUAGGACUGAGUCUUCUGUUCUUUGCAAAGCAUUUCUCAGCACACCUGCCCAGCUGCAUGAGCUGAGAGGAAAUCAGCAUAUUAAGGAAGAAGAAACAGUGCCUCCUGCUGAAGACUUUACUGCUUCUAGCACCUGUUAGACAGUGUGUUUCUGCGGACCAAGGACACAUUCUCCAUUGAUAGGAUCUCCGAAUUCUGUCUGGCACCUGACAGUAUCUCCUCCUAAGGGCAGGACUCCAAGCACGAAGAUUGCCAAAGUCUGAAAUCGGAUCCUUUCCCAGUGCAGCACACAAGGACACACGUGUGCACGUGCGGGCACACACACAGGCCGCAACAAGAAGGCUUCCCUGAGACUCAUGAUCCACUGUUACCAAAUGUGCUCGCAGACACUGCCCCUCUGAGGCCAGAGAGUCUCUCCAAAGGCCCAGCAGCCUGACUGGAGAAUGGCCACUGUGCUGUGAAAG